GAGAAUCCAGGCAGCCAGGGAGUGGGCGGGGAGAGAGGGGUGAGCAAGGGCUGGGGAUGCCCGUGGGGUGGCCAGCAUCACACAGAGCGCAGGGCUGCCGGCUGCUCUAAACUGCGGGUCAGGCGGUGAGCCCUCCGGAACCUGCGCCCAGGCCUGACGUAAGCCAGGGUUCCUCUGCGCUCCAGACUAGGCGGCUUUCUCUCUGCACACCCUGGGACCUGCCCAAGGGGCGCCUGGAGGAAGGCACCAGGCACGCGUUUCCGAACGGUCACUCAGGGUGGCUGAUUCUGUGUGCCCCGAGGCUCGGGGCGCUGUCUCAGGUGCCAUUACUGCGUCAGGGCGCUGCCUGUGGCAUUUCCUGCCCAUUUGCACAACUUAGAGAGGCGGGGGAGAGGGGAGCCAGAUUCUCCAGGAGACCCCGACUCCACCGAUAAAAUCCACCUGAUCAGGGCCCUCUAGCGGAGAGGCUGUGGCUGCCUCAGCCUCAGCGCAAUGUGGGCCGGGUCCCUUUAAACUGCUAGCUCUGUCCCUGUUCCUUAAAAGCCUACAGGGGAAGGAGCAGCCCAGUGCCCCAGCUGGGGGUGGCAGCUGCGGAUGCGGUACUUGCUGCACCCCCUGUAUGCGCCUUCAGAGCCUGGGGGAUCAGAACAGCCUCCCAGGGGUGCCAGGCAGGUGCGUGAGGCCCGAAGUUCAGUGCGGCCAGCAACAGGGGCGGGCGUCCACCAGGGCCGCCCAGGGGAGUGGCCCCUCCCACCUGCAGAGAUUCAGCAGGGACUCCCUGGAGGAAGCCACCUGCAGCCAGCAGUGGAGUUCAGAGGCAGGGAGGGAGAAACUCCCCGUCACAAGGCAAGGAGACUGGAAACAGCCUGGACCCGCGGGGACGUUCAGGAAUGUUCCAGAGUGACCAGCAGGGCUCAUGGAGGCUCUGCUAAGACAGGAGGCAGCGGCGAGGCCGGCUCAGGCCAGAGGCCUGGGCACCAGAACGCCAGCGAGGGACUGGGCACCCUUUCAAAAAGGCCAGACCCUGACUUCCAAAGCCAGAGCGGGCCGAGGCUGGAGACACUCACAGAGCACCAAGCAGAAAGUCAGGGCAGACAGCAUGAGAGCAGAGGCGAGCCCAUGCUCAGCACCAGCGUCGCCAAGCUCACAUGACCGGCAAGAGAAGAACCGUGGCAUCGUUCACACUGGACUCCAGGGAGGACUCAGGGAACACCAGCUAUGGGCCAGCAGCGUGCUGACCACUCCAAAGGUCUUCCCCCAACCUCUCCAGGCCACAGUAACUCCACAAGGCUUUGCAAACUCACACUCUCUAAGCCAUUAGAAGUAAUGACAACAGAAGUAUGCAAAGUGACUCGGGGAUGUAAGCUGUGGAUUAGGCCUGUCUGCUCCUGGCUGUCACAGUGCCCAUGUCUUAUUAAGCACUCAUUAUGCACCAGACACUGUAUGCAUUAUUGCUGGCAUUCCUCCCCAGUUCCUGCAUGUCACCAAUUAGUAUUAUUCCCAUUUUACAAAGAAAACAGACAUUCAGAAAAGUAAUUUGCUCAAGCAGACAGGGAUGUAAAGCCAGAAUUCAGCUUUUCCUGUACUCUACAGGAUAAAGGGCCCACCAUUUUAGCACAGAAGACGCAGUGUCGUGUUGAAGUAACCCAUAGAUUGUGAGCUGCAUAGACACUGAAAAUGUCCCAGGGAAGCUACCUCAGGCCUAUAGAAUGUCGAUGGUAUUCAGGCAAUAAUGGAUCAUCCUGGGUGAACUGGUUGACCUACAUGAGUCACAGCAUCCCCGAGUGUCUUGACCAGUGUUUGGUUUAGAGGUUGCCAUGAGGUCUUGUUCUGACCAAAGAGAUGAAAGAAGCCUGUUCCAGAUCUCUGAGAGAUUUUCCUCCCUGACAAAUGAGACAUGAGGAGAGAAAGCCCUCUUGCAUGGCUCCUCCUGCUAGCUGGAACACUAUCAUGUGGGGACAGGAUCAUUGGAACGGGGCAGCUGUUUUGUGUACAUGAGUGUAAAGAAGGGAGCAUUGCUCACACCCUAAGGAAAUCAGAAUGAAAAGGAAAAAAGUUUAGGAGCUUGAUGUCAUUGUUAAGCCAUCAAGCCUACCCUAGGACCACCUAUUUCCAGAUUUUUUUGUAGCAUUAAUAACUGUUCAAGCAGCUUUAGUAUCAAUAAAUACAUUUCCUUUUACA
ensembl:lncRNA